rnacentral:lncRNA from 1 species
UUUCCCCCAAAAUAUGUUAACAAUGUGACAUGCAAUUUAGCUGUUAUUUUUAAAUGAACUUAAUAAGUGGUUUCAAAACUUCUGUUUUGUUUUCUAACAAGGUAAAUGCUGAGAGAUAUAGUCCAAAUAAAUCAAGGCUCUUUGAGAUCUUCAAUAAUUUUUAAGAGUGUAACUGGGUACCAAGACCAGAAAAAAAAAAUGAGAAUCACUAGAAUUUUUGCUUAUCUUUUUCCCUUAAAUCAAGGCUUACAGUUUUGGCUAUAAAAAUGACCAGUAAUUUUCAAAACAAUGAUUCUAAAAACAUUCAUUUUACAAAAGCAAAUAUAAAAUGUUUUGAAUUUUCACUGAUGUCAUUUUUAAUACUUCACUUUCAGUCACCUUAAUUAUCAGGUACAGUUAUUAUUGGCUGUGUUUUACAGCACUGCUAAAAACUACUUCUUUAAUUAGUAGAUAACCGAUAAUGAUGAUGUCUAUGCAAAAAGAUACUAAAAUCUAGCUGGUAAACAUAUACACUGAAAAAGAGACAAAAAACAGUUGCUAGGAAAAUGAAAAUAUAAGAUUAUGUAUUUUUGAAUAUAAAAAGAAACCAUAAGGAGUUGCUAAAAUUCAACAUGCCUGUACAAAAUCACUGGUUUUAAAUAAUUUUUUCCCUGAGAAGAAAUAUCUAAACUUUAAUAAAAUAUAUUUCAAGAAAGGGAUGCCAUUCAGUAAUAAAAAGAUGAUUAUGGGGGGAACCUCUCAAGACUGUAUGAAAGACAAUUAAAGAACUCACAGUACAAUAACUUAAUAGCUUUGGAGUAAUUCAUUCCUAUUGCUGAGAAUAGCUGCAUGUUAAAUAAGGCUUUACAGUCAAACAGGAAAGAGAAAGCCUCUUACCCCUGCUCUCAAGUUUUUAUGUGCUAGCCCCACAUUUCCCUGUCUAAAUCCCACAUGGUUACUGUCGAAGAGGUUCUCCUUGGUUUUGUCCUUUGCCAAACCCAAUGUCCUUAGCCUUCAAGAGCUCUGGUUCCUACUCAUUCAAUCAUUCAACUAUUUACUAAGCACCUACUGCUAGGCAGGUAUAGAUUAAUGAAAAUGAAGCAAAGCAUGAAACAUAAAAAUCCUUCCUACCACCUUUUUUGAACUUUUGGUCCACGGGGAGAAGACAUGAAACAAAACAAAUGCCACAGCAGAUAGUAAUAACUGCAAGGGUGGUAAAAAAGAAAAAAAAAAAAAAAAGAAGAAGGAACGAUUAAAUAUUCAAGGAAUGACUCAUUUUAUUAGAAAAACAAAUUUUUCAAAGAUUUAAGAAUAUUUUCUAAAUGUUGGGAGAGAAGUAGUGGCAAAAAAAUAUGGUCAGUGAACACAAAAGCUCAAUUGUUUUAAUGGAAAAAAUUUUUUAAAGAUUUUAUUUAUUUACUAAUGAGAGAGAGAGAGAGAGAGAGGGAGGCAGAGACAUAGGCAGAGGGAGAAGCCCGCUUCCUGCAAGGAGCCCAAUAUGGGACUCGAUUCCGGAUCCCGAGAUCAUGCCCAGAGCAGAAGGCAGAUGCUCAACUGCUUGAGCCACCCAGGCAUACCUGAAAAUUUUUAAUUAUAUAUAAAAGUAGAGAGAAAAGCAUAAUGAAUUCCUGUAUAUCUACUCAUCACUCCUAUUCAACAAUUAUUCUAGAUAUUACCAAUAUUACUUUGUCUUUUUUUCUUUUUUGAGGUAUUUUAAAGUAAAUGCUAGACAUAAUGUCACUCCCCCUCCUACCCACCUACCAUAUCAUGUAUAUUUAAAUAAUUAACCUACUGCUUUAUAUAAUCACAAAAUCACUACAUCACACUCAUCAAAUUAAGUUUCCAUGGUACUGGGAUACCUAGGUGGCUCAGUGGUUCAGUGUCUGCCUUUGGCUCAGGGUGUGAUCCCAGAAUCCAGGAUCGAGACGGGGAGCCUGCUUCUCUCUCUGCCUGUGUGUCUCUGCCUCUCUGUGUCACUCAUAAAUAAAUAAAUAAAUCGUUUUUUUUUUUAAGUUUCCAUUGUAUUAACUAAUACCAACCAAAUUUAAAUUUCUAGUAUCAUCUCAAAAAUGUCUUUUCUAGAUAAUUUGAUCUAAAAAGAAUCCAGAGACACCUGGGUGGCAAAGCUGGUUAAACAUCUGCCUGUGGCUUAGGUCCUGAUCUCAGUUUCCUGGAACUGAGCCCCACAUCAGGCUCCCUACUCAGCGGGGAGUCUGCUCCUCCCUCUCCCUCUGCCCCUACUCCCGCUCAUUCUCUCUCUCUCUCAUGCACUCUCUCUCAAAAUAAAUUAAAAUCUCUUAAAAAGAUUUUUAAAAAUAAAAAAUAUAUAAAAUAAAAUAAAAAGAAAACAAACAUGAACCACUUUGUAUGUGGCUGUUAUAUUUCUUACAUCUUUUUUUACUUAGUAGUAACUCCCCAUGUCC